rnacentral:rRNA from 1 species
CCUACGGGAGGCAGCAGUGGGGAAUUUUGGACAAUGGGCGAAAGCCUGAUCCAGCAAUGCCGCGUGCAGGAAGAAGGCCUUCGGGUUGUAAACUGCUUUUGUACGGAACGAAACGGUCUGCUUUAAUACAGUGGGCUAAUGACGGUACCGUAAGAAUAAGCACCGGCUAACUACGUGCCAGCAGCCGCGGUAAUACGUAGGGUGCGAGCGUUAAUCGGAAUUACUGGGCGUAAAGCGUGCGCAGGCGGUUAUGUAAGACAGUUGUGAAAUCCCCGGGCUCAACCUGGGAAUUGCAUCUGUGACUGCAUAGCUAGAGUACGGUAGAGGGGGAUGGAAUUCCGCGUGUAGCAGUGAAAUGCGUAGAUAUGCGGAGGAACACCGAUGGCGAAGGCAAUCCCCUGGACCUGUACUGACGCUCAUGCACGAAAGCGUGGGGAGCAAACAGGAUUAGAUACCCCAGUAGUC